rnacentral:lncRNA from 1 species
UCCAAACUUCAAAAGUUUUUAACAUUGCCGCUUAGAGCACAAGAAAGCUUAUGAUUCUCUAACUGAUCUGUGCACUUAGUAAAAUGAGAUUACAACCUUUUCUUAUCAGAUGUUUGCUUUUUAUGCACUAUCGAGCUUCCAAACUGGUUAUCGAGGCACGGUUGGUAGAAGGAACUGUCGAUCCAGCUGCAGCUAGCGAGUUUGUAAACACAAUAGCAAACACCUUCUUCUUUCUCGUGCAUCCCUUCGACCUUUUCAUGUAUUCAGCUGAAUUACAACCAUAUGUGCAUUUUAGUGCUCGCAAUUCUCUAAAUAUAUACUCUUCAAAGAUGGUGCUAGACUGCUAGUUAUAUAUAGUUGUGGUUUAACGAGUAGAAAGUUAGAUAAAAUUUUAUAUAUUUCUCUUGCUCGGGCUGCGGAAAAGUUAAACUUCGAGAAAGUGAUUUUGAGAGUAAAUUUUUUUAUUAUCAUCUAAAUUUCAUUCAACUUUUCACCUGUUAAAAUAAACUAUGAUUAAAUUUAGUUCAAUGUAUGCAUAUUGUUUACCUAACUCAGUUGUAUCCAC